UUGAGAGGAGUUGCCCCUAGUACGAGAGGACCGGGGUGAACGUUCCACUGGUGUACCAGUUGUUCCGCCAGGAGCAGUGCUGGGUAGCUAUGAACGGAAAGGAUAACCGCUGAAGGCAUCUAAGCGGGAAGCCCCCCUCAAAACAAGGUAUCCCUGAGAACCGAGGUAGACCACCUCGUCGAUAGGCCAGAGAUGUAAGC
rnacentral:rRNA from 1 species